GGGUGCCCGGUGUGGGCGUCGACACUUGUAUUUAAUUGCUUUCCCAUUGCUUUGCAGACCAUUUAACCCCGGGUUGCAUGUCUCUCUCUUUAUGAAUUCAGCCCUCCUCAGAGUGAAGCCUCCCCGGUGGCUUCUCCGGAUCCCCAGCGCCAGGAGUGGUUUGCCCGGUACUUCACGUUCUGAAUGACGGUGCUGGCACGGCUCUGUGUGGACUGUCCAUGGCAUGGCUGCAUAGGAACCGUUAUGUGGACUGGCCUGUCUAUGGAAAGCACUGUGAAUGAGGAAGUAUUUGUCUCUCCAAUCUGAAAUGCACUGUAUUUCCUGCGAUACUUACUGGAGUCACUCUCUGAGGUACUAUAUUAUGUGUGUAAUUAUAACAAUUAUUUUUAUCCGAGACGGAAGUCUUAAUCUUUGUAAUUACUGCAUAAUAAAUUUUGUUAGAACAAAUGUUUUUUGUUGUUGUUUUCUAUCAAGUGUGCUUAAAACACUUUUUAAUACCAGAUAUAAGACUUGUCAAUAAGCUGUACUGCACAUAAUAAAUCAUAAGUUGUUAUUUCAAUAGUCUUAAUAUCAAUAUAGGGCAAUUUAUUAAUAUCUUCCAUUGUCAUGUAUAAUUUUAACUAAAUUGUUAACAUUUAUAAAUCCAGAAUAAAAAAAUUUAUGUAAAUCGUGUACUUCC
rnacentral:lncRNA from 1 species